AGUAAUCCGGACCCUGUGGAUGCUGAUCAUUCAUUGAACGGGUCGCUCCAACUGUUCAACGACGAUCAGUCAGAGGUCGAAGGAGUAGGGCACCCGCUCGUUGAUUCUUUAACUCACCAGACGCCUCAGCUGAUAGGAGAUACAAAGACAACGAGCACGCCACACCUUCUACCUGUCGCUUCAACACCAACACCAACACCAAC